rnacentral:lncRNA from 10 species
ACUUCCUUGUUCCGCUGACUCAGCGGGUUCCUGAAGCAUGCUUAGCUUUCUCCGACAUUAGGCUCCUGCAGCACAGGCAGUUUCUCCAGUACCUAGCUCUUGCAGUGUACAGUGCCAGCCGUAUCCAGCGUGUGUAACUCAAGGUUCCUGCUGUUCGUGACUUGUACCAUCCAAUGGCUUCUCCACCAUUAGCUGAAUUUAUCAUCCACUCACUACUUCAUACUCAGUGCCCUGCUGGGUAGCAGUCUAAUGUCAGACCAUAUAAUGAAAUACCACUCAGCAAUAAAAAGGUCAACCAAGAGAGUACCAACUGGCUGGCUAUUUACAUUUCCACAAGAAAACAACAGACAACUUACAGCUGCCUAUAAAUAUAGUGGAGGACACUUGAAAUGGGAAACCAGAUAAUCAAUCUGCCUCACUGGCACAAAUUUACUGAGCGAAUUCUCGCCGGGUGUGCUGUCUAUGCAGGAUUUUAUAUAUUCUUCACACUGUCUGGCUGAAUUAUAUUCAUAUAAAUGAAAUAAAUCUCCCUUUGAAUCCACAACAAAAGUGGAAUGGUUUAGAAUUUUGAGCAAAGUGGUACACUCACCAUCAGGAAUAUUGUGCCCAAACACGAGAUAUUAUGUUUUGUUAUAUUCUUAGACCUCAUAUACAUUUUCCUCAGAUAUCCGAAUGGUAACACUUUCAGGAGUAGAGGAUGCUAUAUACAUUUUAUUUAUUUGUAUUUAUUCAAAAUUUUAUUUAAAUUCUGUAUUAAUAUAAUUGUGGAUUCACAUGCAGUUAUAAGAAAUAAUACAGAAAUCUCUUGUGUAAAAUUUUUCAAGCUUCCCUUAAUGGUAACAUUUUGCAAAACUAUCAUAUAAUAUCAUAUCCAGGCUGUUAACAUUUAUAUAAUACCCCUAUAUUAUUCAGAUUGCCAGUUUUACCAGUACGUGUGUGUGUGUGUCUGUGUAUGUGUGUAUUUAGUUCUAUACAAUUUUGACACCUUUAAAGUUUCAUGUAUCCUCAACCAAAGUCAAGAUAACACUUCCGACACCACAAGGAUACUUUAUCCUGCUCUUUUCUAAUCAUACCCAGCUUGCUUCUGCCUUACCCUAUACUUAACUACUGACAUGUCCUCCAUUUCUAAAAUGUUAUCAUUUUAAAGAUUACAGAAAGGAAUCAUGCAUUAUGUCAUCUUUUGGGAAUAGAUUUUUUCUCACUCAACUAUUGAUACACCCAAGUUUCUGCAUGUAUCAGUAGUUAAUUCCUCUUCAUUACUGAGUAGUGUUCCAUUGUAUAGAUAUAUGACAGUUUGUUUAACAAUUUACCGGUUGAAGAGCACUCAACUGUUUUCAGGUUUUAUUAUUAUGAAUAAAGCUGCAACGAAUAUUCAGUUUUGUGUGAACAUAGUUUGCGUCUCUCUAGGAUGAAUGUGUGUGACUGCAUUUGGUGGACUGUAUGGUAGUUAUAUUUUUACUUUAAUAAGAAAAUGUAAAACUGCUUUCCAGAGUGGCUAUAAAUGUUACAUUCCUACUAGAAAUUUCUGAAUGAUCCAGUGGCUCCACAUUCUCAUCAGCAUUUGAUGUUAUCCUUAUUAUUUAUAUUAGAAGUUGACAAUUUAGUGGUCUUUCACCAAGCAGCUCUCGGUUACAUACAAACACUUCCCUCAUCACCAAGUUCCCCGUAUAGUUUAGCAUAAUUUUGUUUGGAUUAACAUACAACUGUUUUUUAGUUUUGAUUUUAAUUUUUGAGGGGAGGUAAUGGGCAUAUAUAUUUAUGGGGUACAUGUGAUAUUUUGAUACAGGCAUGUAAUACAUAAUAAUCACAUUAUGUGAAGUGGGAUAUCUAUCCCUUCAAGCAUUUGUCUUUUGUGUUAUGAACAAUUCAAUUAUACUGUUUUAGUUAUUUUAAAAUAUAAAAUUAAAUUAUUUUUGACUAUAGUGGCCCUGUUGUGCUAUCAGAGACUAGAUCUUAUACAUUAUUCCUAACUAUGUUUUCUUUUUGUACACAUUAACCAUCUCAACCUCCGCCCCACCCUCCCACUACCCUUCCCAGACUCUGGUGACCAAC